rnacentral:tRNA from 1 species
GAGGGUAUAGCUCAAGAGGUAGAGCGCAUGCUUAGCAUGCAUGAGGUCCUGGGCUCAAUCCCCAGUACCUCCU